AUGUCCUCGGAUGACAGGCACCUGGGCUCCAGCUGCUGCUCCUUCAUCAAGACUGAGCCGUCCAGCCCAUCCUCCGGCAUCGAUGCCCUCAGCCACAACAGCCCAGUGGCUCGUCCGACACCAGCAGCGGCUUUGGCCUGGCCCUCGGCACCCACACCAAUAGUCUGGACUCACCACCCAUGUUUGCAGGCGCCGGGCUGGGAAGCACCCCGUGCCGCAAGAGCUAUGAGGACCAUCCCACCGGCAUCAUGGAGGACUCGGCCAUCAAGUGUGAGUACAUGCUCAAUGCCAUCCCCAAGCACCUGUGCCUCGUGUGCGGGGACAUUGACACUGGCUACCACUAUGGCGUGGCCUCCUGCAAGGCUUGCAAGGCCUUCUUCAAGAGGACCAUUCAAGGGAACAUCCAGUACAGCUGCCCGGCCACCAACGAGUACGAGAUCACCAAACGGAGGCACAAGUCCUGCCAGGCCUGCCGCUUCAUGAAAUGCCUCAAAGUGGGGAUGCCGAAGGAAGGUGUGCGCCUUGAUCGAGUGCGUGGAGGCUGCCAAUAAUACAAGCGAUGGGCUGGACUCAGAGAGCAGCCCAUAUCUGAGCUUACAAAUUUCUCCACCUGCUAAAAAGCCAUUGGUCAAGAUUGUCUCAUACCUACUGGUGGCUGAGCCGGACAAGCUCUAUGCCAUGCCUCCCCCUGGCAUGCCUGAGGGGGACAUCAAGGCCCUGACCACUCUCUGUGACCUGGCAGACCGGGAGCUUGUGGUCCUCAUUGGCUGGGCCAAACACAUCCCAGGCUUCUUGAACCUCUCCCUGGGGGACCAGAUGAGCCUGCUGCAGAGUGCCUGGGCAUCCUGUACUGCUCGCUGCCCUAUGACGACAAACUGGUGUAUGCUGAGGACUACAUCAUGGGCAAGGAGCACUCCCGUCUUGCGGGGCUGCUGUAGCUCUACAGGGCCAUCCUGUAGCUGGUGCGCAGGUACAGAAAGCUCAAGGUGGAGGAGGAAUUUGUGACACUCAAGGCCCUGGCCUUUGCCAACUCUGAUUCCAUGUACAUCAAGGAUCUGGAGGCUGACCAGAAGCUGCAGGACCUGCUGCAUGAGGCGCUGCAGGACUACGAGCUGAGCCAGCGCCACUAGGAGCCCCGGAGGACGGGCAAGCUGCUGCUAACGCUGCCCCUGCUGGGGCAAACGGCCGCCAAGGCCGUGCGGCACUUCUACAGUGUCAAACUGCAGGGCAAGGUGCCCAUGCACAAACUCUUCCUGGAGAUGCUGGAGGCCAAUGUGGAGGCCUGGGCCAGGGCUGACUCCCUUCGGGAGUGGAGACCACUGGAGCAAGUGCCCCUCACCUCCACCAAACCACUAAGAGGCAGCAUGUGCAUUUCCUAACUCCCUUGCCCCCUCCCCCAUCCAUGGCCUGGGUGAGCAGUGCACAGGCUGGGUACCACCUGGAGGUUUUCCUUCCGCAGAAGGCAGGUACCCAAGGGACAACAGCAUCUUUUUUCCAGAGGCCCUGCCUGCUGAGAUCCUCUGGGGCCCCUCGAGAGCCCCAUAUCUCCCACAGUCCCCAUUCAGCUUUCAGCCAGGGCGGACCCACAGGAGAACGGCGGCUAGAGCUCACGUGUUUCCUGGGCACCCCACUCCCUCGGGGCCUGCCCCCUGCCUGUCACCCACCAUGCCAGUGCCCACCUGUCCUCCUCCUCUUCUCCUCCCCCAGGGUUCCUCCGAUACUUCCUGACCCUACCUCAGAGCUCACUCACCCAGUGGGUUCAGCCAGCCACAGUGACUCCAGGGCCUGUAGACAGGAACAUGCUGGCACAGAGAAGAGCAGGGGCCACACCAUCCUCCCCAGAACCCUUUCCCGCUUCCUGCCUUUCCCCUGUUCCUGAAGGGCAGGUCUAAGCCAGGUGUGCCCAUGAAAAACUCAGGAGCCUGACUCCAUCCGAGAGCACCCUAGGGGGAGGAUCAGGGCAAAAUGGGCAGAGGCCCAGACCAAUCUUCGCCAAGCACAGAAAGGCCCAGCAGCUGAGAGAAGUAGGCAGAGGGGCCCCGAAGGGAGGGAGCUCAGCAGGGUGGCCAGCCUCAUCCUUCCUGGCUUCCUUUCUCUGCACUCCGUAUCAUGCCGCAGGGCUGGCAUGCCAGUGCCAUAGGAGGGGUGGCCUCCCGCCACCCUUGCACAACCAGAAGUUUGGUGUAGCUCCCCUGGGCACUGCGCGCACACCAGCUCUCUGGCAGGACCCCUGCAGUCCCCCUGACUGCUGUGCCGGGUGACCAACCAUCCCAGUUUGCCCAGGAUGUUCCUUUGUCCCAGAAAACUCCUCAGACCCAGGCACAUGGGGACAGUGGGUCACCCUGUUUCUGUGGAUGGCCAUAAAGGUUUUCACUGACUCAAGGGGCAGCCCUGAACACCCAUCUGUGCUCACAGGUUGGUAAGGGCAGCUUAGAGGAUCUCCCAAGGACAAAAGAGUAUCAAGCCAUGAUGGAAAAUGCCCCUUCUAAUCAGCUGCCUGUGCAAGCAGGGAUCAGAGCAAUCCCGCGGGGAUCCCCCAUCUACGCCCUUCUAGUCCAACCUGCCUCGUCAAGAGAGGCAGGCAAAUCUCACCCAGCACUGGGACACCAGGAGGCCAGGUGCCUUUCUGCAGCUUUUCCAUUGAAACCCUGGUCCCGCCUCCCUGGCUCUACCCUAGGAACCUCAUGCUGAUGACGUGCUGAGGUCAUCCAGGCAGGAGGGAGGGCUGGCUGAAAUCCACAAACUGCAGAGCAGCUCUCUGAUGGUGUCUCAUAUAGAAAAUGUUAAGGAUUCCAAGAGCCCUCCCAGACCAGGGACGUGUCCACCCCACUCCCCUUGCCUGUGGGGAAUCGGGUCUGAGUCACUUGAGGAGUGGGCAUUGAGCCAUCACCCAGGAUGCUGCAUCCGUCACCCUCCACGCAGCCCCUCUUCCCCGAUCUGGGUGGAGGCGCACAUUCGGGGCAAAGGCCCCUCCUCAUUGUCAAGGAACACCAGCUGCAAACCAAGUCUAGCACAGUGUUUAGAGGCUGCACCCUGAGGGCCUGCCCUGAGGAAACCUUCACAGUCGAGACCUUGGGGUGUGCUCCAUGGGGCUCCCUUAGUCUCUUGUGCUGUGUUCUUGCAGCAGGGCUUGGUGGCACCCUGCUUUGUCACUUCCUGCUCAAGCUGGGGGACCCAGGUGGCAAGGGAUCAUGCCCAGCUGGCAUCUGCUGCCCAUCUUUCCUUGGGAAAGCAUCUCUGGCUCAGCGUGCAACAUCUGGCUUGGAGCAAGUGGGUGUUCUGUGCACCAGGCAGCUGUGCCUCGUUGGAUCUGAUGUUGCUGCCCCUCUAGCACAGUGGGGCGGAAGUCCUGAUAGUUGGUGUCCAUGAGGUAGAAGCUGCUUUUACACUUAAAACUCACAUCACAACAGGAAAUGUGUCCGUAACAAUGGAACUCCAUCCAAUGGGAAAGUUCCUGGUACUGAAGGGAUCCAUUGGAUGCUCCGAAAAGAAGUUUAGGAGCCAACUUCUUAGCUGGAAGCCUGGUCAGAUGAAGACCCUCUCUAGGGAAGGGAAAGGACUGACUUAGUGGGAGGUGGUGAAGUGAGGAGAGUUUAGGGGACCCUCCCCCCAGUGGAACAAAACUCAAGUUUACCCAAAACCUGCCAUUUCUGGAAAAUCUGUGAAGAGGAAACAGCCUGUCUCAGUUGUACUCUCAUGAUACAGGUCAUUUGAAAUGAACUAAGAAAUAAAACAUAAAAAUCCAACCGUGGGAAAAAAAAAAGAAAUUUUACUCAGAUUGUCUUAGGUUAAUGAGCACUCAUACAAAGACAAAUAUUUUAGUAUCAGGUCAUAA